rnacentral:rRNA from 1 species
UUUAUGGAGAGUUUGAUCCUGGCUCAGGAUGAACGCUGGCGGCGUGCCUAAUACAUGCAAGUCGAGCGAACGGACGAGAAGCUUGCUUCUCUGAUGUUAGCGGCGGACGGGUGAGUAAAACGUGGAUAACCUACCUAUAAGACUGGGAUAACUUCGGGAAACCGGAGCUAAUACCGGAUAAUAUUUUGAA